AGUUGGGUCAUGCAGACAGUAUUUGACAAUUCUCCUUGGGAAAUUGGUGUGCCCUGUGGAUUGGCCAAAGGAGAUGUGGGCAGCCUAAGACACUUCAUUCUCCUCACAUACAUGAACACUUUUUGCUAUGCUAAGCCAAUCUGAUAAGGUCGCUUAAAAGAAAGCAAUCAACUCAAUCUUCUAAUAGAACCUUUCAUUCUUUCAAUGGCUGAGCCAACACAAUAUACAGUACCUCCAGGUUCUUAUAUCCCAACAAGAGUUAGUGCCCACCACAAACACUUGAACCACACCUGACAGAUGUUGAAGAAAGUUUCACUAUGCCGUCUUCCAGAGAAAAGCAGCGCAUCUAUUGUCUUCCUGGUGUCUCAGCUCCACUUGGGAAGUGGGUGGCAGCUGUUCCCACUUCAUUGACUGACCAGGGUCCAGCAGUUUCCUUAACUUGUUACUUCAAAUCUGAUAAGAUUUGAAACUGAAAUUUAAGAUUACAGCUAGAAGGCCUUUUCAGGAAGACUUCAGUGGCUAGGAGACUGGAGACAAGGAAGGGGUGGGGUGUACAGCAUACAUUUUUCUGUACUUGCCACUUAAUGGGGAAAGGUGGAAUGUUCAAGCUGGUUGGCAAGUGUUCUCUGAAUUUAAGAAGAAGUUUGUGCUUCAGGGAUUGCUGAAGCACUAAGAUUAGUUCUGAGCUGCAUUUUCAGCAUGAUUACAGUGCUACUUAAGGUACAAUUUGCACAAAAGAGACAUGAGAAAUAGUGGCAAAGCUAUUGCUGUCUGGGAUAUUGCUGGGAUGAUGCAAGUUGUGCUGCAAUAAAUCACAUUGGUUCACCUUUUCAUUUAAAGCUCUGUUGAAUACUAAGUGGUCUGUGAUCUGAGAACCCAUGUUACAUGUAAGGUCAGCCCAUAAGUACCUUGUUCCCUCAAAUUGCCACAUUACAGUAUUAAGUAGGAGAACUACAAUUGCAGUACACAAAAGUCUAGAUGGAACCCCUUUAGUAUUUUUAUUCAGUCAACAGCAAAAAAAACCCUAGAUUUUUUGAAAACGAAAGCUUGAUAUAUUGAAAAUACUGCUUUCUUUUAGUGUGUUUUGGCACACAGUGUUUUGUUAACACAAAGGAAGGUCUUUUAGUAUUGCCAAAAACAAGUGAUCCCAUCCUUCUUGGAACCAGUUUUAUGUCGAGAGGUGAAUGUAGACAUGAGUACAAAUUAAAAUGUGAUAUUUUAUCAUUGAAUUUAAUCAAUAUUUUAUAACACAUGGUUUCUCACAUUAUUGUGCUGGCUUUCCCUGUUUGAAAAAAUAUUUUAAGUGCUGUCUAAGUUGAAGUUUUAUCUGUAAAUAAAGUAAUUGGACAGCCAAAACCUUGAGGUACUUGUUGGACUUCAGUAACUUAUCAGCCACUGGCAAAUAAACUCCUACAAAACUCCUUAUAGAAACUUGCACUCUUUUUUCCCUUUUUCUUUCUACAGAAGAACGUGUAAAUAAAGAUAAUGUAGGACGUACCAAAAAGUCCAUUUUAAGCAGGGCAAUGGCAAGUUCUCCCAGACUUUUGUAUGCAUUGUAGAUUAGUGUCUGUAUACGUGUUAAUUGUAGUGGGGUUUUGUCUGACAAGCCUGAGAUUUAUACUUUGAAAUAAACUACUGGGUUUUUAA